rnacentral:pre_miRNA from 1 species
UGGUGAUGAUGAUGAUGAUGAUGAUGAUGACGGUGAUGAUGGUCGUCACCUUUCAUCAGCACCAUCAUGACCAUCAUCAUCAUCAUCAUCAUCAUCA